rnacentral:rRNA from 1 species
UACGAAGGGGCUAGCGUUGCUCGGAAUCACUGGGCGUAAAGGGUGCGUAGGCGGGUCUUUAAGUCAGGGGUGAAAUCCUGGAGCUCAACUCCAGAACUGCCUUUGAUACUGAGGAUCUUGAGUUCGGGAGAGGUGAGUGGAACUGCGAGUGUAGAGGUGAAAUUCGUAGAUAUUCGCAAGAACACCAGUGGCGAAGGCGGCUCACUGGCCCGAUACUGACGCUGAGGCACGAAAGCGUGG